rnacentral:tRNA from 1 species
GCCGAUAUAGUUCAGUCGGUAGAACACAUCCAUGGUAAGGAUGAGACACGGGUUCAAGUCCCGUUGUUGGCUCCA